rnacentral:rRNA from 1 species
UACGAAGGGGGCUAGCGUUGUUCGGAAUUACUGGGCGUAAAGCGUUUGUAGGCGGUCAAACAAGUCAGGGGUGAAAUCCCAGAGCUCAACUCUGGAAUUGCCUUUGAAACUGUUUGGCUAGAGAGUGUUAGAGGUUAGUGGAAUUCCUAGUGUAGGAGUGAAAUCCGUAGAGAUUAGGAGGAAUAUCGAUGGCGAAGGCAGCUAACUGGGACAUUUCUGACGCUGAGAAACGAAAGCGUGGGUAGCAAACAGG